rnacentral:siRNA from 1 species
AAUCUGUCAUAACUAAACGAUAGA